rfam:Zootermopsis nevadensis contig745, whole genome shotgun sequence.
GGAAGUGUGUGUCAAGUGAUGGCACAGCUGAACAUUGAUCGCUAAGAGAUAGGCAGAUCUGCUCAGUACGUGUUGUCACGUGGUCGAUUCCAGAAGUCUGUGAAUGCCCCCGUUGCCUUGCCGCACGGUUGAGUAUUUCUCGGCUCCUCGAACUACCGCGAUUUCCAAAUUGGGGGGAUUUCGACUAGGUCAGACGAGGUAAUUUAGUCGCUUCCAUAUACAGGCACUGCAGUGAGCAGUAUGCCCUUAUUUUUU